CGGUUUCACAAAACACAUUAGUGGGUGUCACAUCGACAAGUUGAAAAAGUAAAAAUGUUGCGACAUAUUUGUACAUCCGUGGUGGCUGGGUUCUCUUUUAUUCUAGUGCAGAUUGUCGCACAGUUUCCUUCAAACGAGAGUUAUAACUACAUGGACGAUGUUAAUAUUACUGGGCCUGUAGUUUUUCCUCCUGCUUAUUACUUUAACUGAAAAUAUGUAGAAACUGUGAAGUAAUAAAACAAACAAAAAUUCUGAUAUUUGAAGCCUA